UUCAAUCACAUAAACAGUCCUUUGAAGAGAUUAAGUACAUGAAUGAGGAAGCCCAUCAACCAUCUCAGUAGAGACAGGGAAUACAGAUGCGUUUAUCCAGGGAAGAUUUGUGAAGAAGCCUCUUGUCUAGUGAAGUGAACCUCCCACAAGGUUUUUUAGGAUGUUAUACAACAGAAAUACUACCAGCUUGGACUGAAAGAGACAAAGAGAAGAUAAAUGAAGUAAGCCUAUCUGACCCCAAAAAUUCUAUAGGCAAGAAGCAGGCUGAUGAAACUACUUGGCCUCAAACAUAUGCUAUCCUUCAAAAAAAAAAGGAAGGACAACUCAGAGAGCAGAGCUACAGGUCCAGAGGAGGACAGAUACUCACGCCACAGAGGAUUAUUCCCAGCCUUCAACCCUAAUGGAGUUUGCCCACCUGGAUUUUUGAAAUCGCUCGGGACUGGAAUCAGGGCUACUAUUAUUUGAACUCUUCACCUGUGACAAGAAUGAUCGGGCAGAGAGCACCUGGAAUAUGCGUUCUCCAAGAUACAUUUUAAUAUCUACUGAGAAGAUUUACAAGUUUCUCUAUAAAGUUUGACAAAUUUCUCCAUAGAGAUCUUCUGUAAGAGUUUCUCUUGAUCAGGAAUUUGAAUGCAGCUUAACUGGCGGUUCCAGCUUGGACUUUCUAAAGAGGUUACAGUCACUAUGUCACCAAAGCUGCAGUCAUCUGAAGGCUUGACUGAGCCUGGAAGAUUUACUGCCAUGAUGGCUCACUCAAACUGCUUGUCAGCACGAUUCGAUGUUUGAGGGGAAGACAUAAGGCCGUGAAUGAAUAUUGGGAGACAAGGAGUAUCUGGAGGCUGUCUCAGAGGCUGGCUAUCAUGUUGGAUCUAGUCAUGAACUAUCCAUUCUUUUCCGCUAAACUGAAUACCCCUUUCGGUUCCAAAUAUAUGCUUACGCUAUUAUUUAAUAGAA